ACCGGCGAUUUCCGAAUGGGGAAACCCAGUGUGUUUCGACACACUAUCAUUAACUGAAUCCAUAGGUUAAUGAGGCGAACCGGGGGAACUGAAACAUCUAAGUACCCCGAGGAAAAGAAAUCAACCGAGAUUCCCCCAGUAGCGGCGAGCGAACGGGGAGCAGCCCAGAGCCUGAAUCAGUAUGUGUGUUAGUGGAAGCGUCUGGAAAGGCGCGCGAUACAGGGUGACAGCCCCGUACACAAAAAUGCACAUGCUGUGAGCUCGAUGAGUAGGGCGGGACACGUGGUAUCCUGUCUGAAUAUGGGGGGACCAUCCUCCAAGGCUAAAUACUCCUGACUGACCGAUAGUGAACCAGUACCGUGAGGGAAAGGCGAAAAGAACCCCGGCGAGGGGAGUGAAAAAGAACCUGAAACCGUGUACGUACAAGCAGUGGGAGCACAGAGCAAUCUGUGUGACUGCGUACCUUUUGUAUAAUGGGUCAGCGACUUAUAUUCUGUAGCAAGGUUAACCGAAUAGGGGAGCCGAAGGGAAACCGAGUCUUAACUGGGCGUUAAGUUGCAGGGUAUAGACCCGAAACCCGGUGAUCUAGCCAUGGGCAGGUUGAAGGUUGGGUAACACUAACUGGAGGACCGAACCGACUAAUGUUGAAAAAUUAGCGGAUGACUUGUGGCUGGGGGUGAAAGGCCAAUCAAACCGGGAGAUAGCUGGUUCUCCCCGAAAGCUAUUUAGGUAGCGCCUCGUGAAUUCAUCUCCGGGGGUAGAGCACUGUUUCGGCAAGGGGGUCAUCCCGACUUACCAACCCGAUGCAAACUGCGAAUACCGGAGAAUGUUAUCACGGGAGACACACGGCGGGUGCUAACGUCCGUCGUGAAGAGGGAAACAACCCAGACCGCCAGCUAAGGUCCCAAAGUCAUGGUUAAGUGGGAAACGAUGUGGGAAGGCCCAGACAGCCAGGAUGUUGGCUUAGAAGCAGCCAUCAUUUAAAGAAAGCGUAAUAGCUCACUGGUCGAGUCGGCCUGCGCGGAAGAUGUAACGGGGCUAAACCAUGCACCGAAGCUGCGGCAGCGACGCUGAUGCGUUGUUGGGUAGGGGAGCGUUCUGUAAGCCUGCGAAGGUGUGCUGUGAGGCAUGCUGGAGGUAUCAGAAGUGCGAAUGCUGACAUAAGUAACGAUAAAGCGGGUGAAAAGCCCGCUCGCCGGAAGACCAAGGGUUCCUGUCCAACGUUAAUCGGGGCAGGGUGAGUCGACCCCUAAGGCGAGGCCGAAAGGCGUAGUCGAUGGGAAACAGGUUAAUAUUCCUGUACUUGGUGUUACUGCGAAGGGGGGACGGAGAAGGCUAUGUUGGCCGGGCGACGGUUGUCCCGGUUUAAGCGUGUAGGCUGGUUUUCCAGGCAAAUCCGGAAAAUCAAGGCUGAGGCGUGAUGACGAGGCACUACGGUGCUGAAGCAACAAAUGCCCUGCUUCCAGGAAAAGCCUCUAAGCAUCAGGUAACAUCAAAUCGUACCCCAAACCGACACAGGUGGUCAGGUAGAGAAUACCAAGGCGCUUGAGAGAACUCGGGUGAAGGAACUAGGCAAAAUGGUGCCGUAACUUCGGGAGAAGGCACGCUGAUAUGUAGGUGAAGUCCCUCGCGGAUGGAGCUGAAAUCAGUCGAAGAUACCAGCUGGCUGCAACUGUUUAUUAAAAACACAGCACUGUGCAAACACGAAAGUGGACGUAUACGGUGUGACGCCUGCCCGGUGCCGGAAGGUUAAUUGAUGGGGUUAGCGCAAGCGAAGCUCUUGAUCGAAGCCCCGGUAAACGGCGGCCGUAACUAUAACGGUCCUAAGGUAGCGAAAUUCCUUGUCGGGUAAGUUCCGACCUGCACGAAUGGCGUAAUGAUGGCCAGGCUGUCUCCACCCGAGACUCAGUGAAAUUGAACUCGCUGUGAAGAUGCAGUGUACCCGCGGCAAGACGGAAAGACCCCGUGAACCUUUACUAUAGCUUGACACUGAACAUUGAGCCUUGAUGUGUAGGAUAGGUGGGAGGCUUUGAAGUGUGGACGCCAGUCUGCAUGGAGCCGACCUUGAAAUACCACCCUUUAAUGUUUGAUGUUCUAACGUUGACCCGUAAUCCGGGUUGCGGACAGUGUCUGGUGGGUAGUUUGACUGGGGCGGUCUCCUCCUAAAGAGUAACGGAGGAGCACGAAGGUUGGCUAAUCCUGGUCGGACAUCAGGAGGUUAGUGCAAUGGCAUAAGCCAGCUUGACUGCGAGCGUGACGGCGCGAGCAGGUGCGAAAGCAGGUCAUAGUGAUCCGGUGGUUCUGAAUGGAAGGGCCAUCGCUCAACGGAUAAAAGGUACUCCGGGGAUAACAGGCUGAUACCGCCCAAGAGUUCAUAUCGACGGCGGUGUUUGGCACCUCGAUGUCGGCUCAUCACAUCCUGGGGCUGAAGUAGGUCCCAAGGGUAUGGCUGUUCGCCAUUUAAAGUGGUACGCGAGCUGGGUUUAGAACGUCGUGAGACAGUUCGGUCCCUAUCUGCCGUGGGCGCUGGAGAACUGAGGGGGGCUGCUCCUAGUACGAGAGGACCGGAGUGGACGCAUCACUGGUGUUCGGGUUGUCAUGCCAAUGGCACUGCCCGGUAGCUAAAUGCGGAAGAGAUAAGUGCUGAAAGCAUCUAAGCACGAAACUUGCC
rnacentral:rRNA from 1 species